rnacentral:rRNA from 1 species
UUGUGUUUAAUAGAGCUUUUGCUCGUGAACCAAAUAUGGUCGGCUGGGUUGUCUUUGCGGAAACGCUUAGGUGACUUGUCUACGAAUUGUAAUCAUAAUAUGCGCGACGGUGAAUCCUUUGCAGACGACUUGAAUGGGAACGGGGUACUGUAAGUGGUAGAGUAGCCUUGUUGCUACGAUCCACUGAGGUUAAGCCCUUGUUCUAAAGAUUUGUUCA